GCCCACCUUAUUUCCCGCGGUGCUUCCCGGAGCAGCCUUGGCGGCCACAGCACGUGAAGGGCUGAAAGCGAUCUCAGGUGGCUCCUCUUCUAUCGCUCUGUGACCGCCACCAGCUGCGGUGCUUUUUAGGAGGGACUCGGGGAGACCCCAGAAGCCGGGAAAUGGUGUAUCUGGCUGCGGAGGGGGUGACAUCAGCAGGCGGGGCAGGAAGGACUGCGGGAACCAACGCGGCCGUGGUUUCCCUGCCGCCCGCAUGGAGGGGCUGCGGGCAGCCGGGACCCCGGUGUCCUGCCCUGACCGCACGUGGCUACUUGAGCUCCGAGCUCUCUCUAGGCAGGUCCUCCCCAUAGCCCCGCGACUCCCCGGACUGCAGUGACCGCGGGAGGGUCGCGGAGAGAACGCGACUCGCGUGUGAAAUGUGUGCGCGGGAGGAACCGUGGGUGUCCACCCUCGCUGUCUCGCCUUGCGUCCUCCCUCUUCCCUGGAGUCUUGGUACGCAGGGCGCCCGGUCCACGGCCUUGUAUGCGCAGCACCGUUCUUCCUUGGUGUGAGUGCGCUGUUGCUUUCAUCCAAAUAGCCCCAGCGGGGUUAAGAUUUUAUAUUCUCCACCAAGAUCCCCCUUCCUCUGAUUCGUGUUGGUCGUCACCUGAUUGGAUGCUGAUAUUGAGGGGGAAAAGACGGAGACAUUCUUACUCUCUGGAUUCCCAGAUUUGUGAAAGGAGAAAACCUCUCCCCAAAGAAAAGGAGAUGGCGCCAGAACUCAAAAACUCAGCACACUUCCAGCGCAUGGCACAAUCCUGUGUUGUGAGUGAGCAGUACUGGGGUGGAGGGUGGGAGUGGAGAGGGAUGUCCUGUGUGGCAAAAAGAUGAGUCUUAAUGUUUCACCUAUGUCCGGUUACAGGCCAGCAUUGCUCCUUCUUCAAAAAGAGUUGUUUAUUUGAGCCUCAUUUUCUCAUUCAGUGUAAAACAUUUUAUCAAUCGAGCUUGAAAUGUAAGAUAUAUCCAAAGAGGCAAGUAUACAGGUGGAUUUUAUUAAAAACCAGUACGUAGUCUUAGUGGUGCACACCUGUAAUAUACCAGCUACUCGAAAGACUGAGCAUUCCAAGUUCCAAGCCAGCCUAGGCAAUUUAGCAAGUCCCUGUUUGAAAAUUAAAAAAUAAAAAGGGAUGGGAGUAUGGCUCAGUGGUAGAGGUCACCCGGGUUCAAUUCCCCAGUACUGAAAAAUGGGAGAAAAAAGAAAAAAAAAA
rnacentral:lncRNA from 1 species